AUACGGCAAAGGAUCAGUGCACAUUUGCGACUAAUUGUUUUGUUUCCUCCUCCUCCUGCUCUUUUCGGGUUGAGGCCUGUCACUGAGCAGCCGCUUCGCCUUUCUAAUCCCCGAGCUGGAGUAAAGGCGCUGGCCGGCGGGCCUGCGCCCUCCGCCGGGCCUGGGCCUCCCGGCAGCCCAGCACGAACCAACCUCCUCCGCCAGACCCGACCGAGCAGGAAGGGGGGCUGCGAAAUAAACACCUCCGGUUGCCACUUACUCCCCUCUACCCCGGAUAACAGCAAAUCCCCUCUGCUCCUGGCAGUGCUGGGCCGCUGGGCUGAGAGGCCCGGCCCGCUGCUGGAGAGGGCAGGGAGGGGAAGGGGAGACAAGGAGGGGGAUUACCUGAGCAAAUCGGCGUCUGAAUCCAACGAGAAUCCGAGAGAGGGGGAGAGAAAUCCGCCCCCCUCCCUCCUCAGAGGAGCCGCCGCCGCCGCUGGGCCGCCGCCGCCGCCGCGGAGCAGGAGGAGGAGGGGAGAUAAUAUAACAACAAUAAUCCGGGCCGGGAGGGGGGCUGGCUCCUCUUCCGUCUCCUCCUCAGUGCAGCGAACAUGUAGAGCCGGGGGGUGUGCGGCCGAGGCAAAUCCCUUCCCCCCGAGCCUGCUUCACAACAUCAACACGGGCCGGGCCGCGCCGCGCCGAACCGGUUCCGAGUCGCGCUCCGAGCCGGAGCGAGCGGAGGGUGGCCGAGGGGCAGAGCUGCCAAGGGGCCGCCGCCGCUCCCUCCGAGAGUGCGAGCGCAGGAGGGCGGGGAGGGGCGGCCUGGGUACGGUGAGUCGGUACCGAGCGGGGGGGCAGGGGAAGAGAAGGGCGAGGAGGAGGAGGAGGAGGAGGAGGAGGAGGGGGAAGGAUCCUGUGUGUGUCUCUCUCGCUCCCUCUCAGAACAAAAUGCCGACCGGAAGUGCAGCGGCAGGAAUGACUCCCUCCACCGGCGCCAAACACCAGCAACCUCCCCCUUCCCUCCGCUGCCUCCUCCUCGCCGAUCGCUCCCUCGCUCCACCAGCGCCGCUUCCGCCGCUGCAGCUGGAGGGGCUCCCUUGCCUCGUCUUUCCCGGCAGAGCCUCCCCAACGUAG
rnacentral:lncRNA from 1 species